GUGGCUCAGUCCCUGGAGCAUCCCAGGCUGCUUGGAUCCAGGUGGAGUGGAGUUGGGGAGAUGGCUGUUUGCAGAGGUUGUUCGGGGAUGCUGACUGCCAGCACCCAGGGGUCUUGGGGAUGUUGGGGGCCAGUGGGAUGUUAUAGUUCCCCUGCCAUGGUGGUGGGAAGAGGGGGCCAUUAAUCUGUGGAAACAGGGUGGUCCUCCUGUAGCUCAUUGCUUAGACAACAUGGGAAGACAUUCUGGGGUCCUUUUCAGACAGUUCUGCUCAUGAUACCCAUCUGUCUCCAAAUCUUCACCGUUUCCACCACAUUACACACUCUCCCAGACAACGCUGGCCCAGAGAACUCGGCAUCCUUAGCUCGAAUCUAACACUUGACUGCAUGGCUCAUGCCUGGGCUCAAUAAUUUCUGUGGAGCUCUAGGAAGCAGGUGCAGGCAGCAUGGAGCCCAUGGCCACAGGUCCUUGGUGUAAUCUGUUGCCCAGGCUUAGGUUUACUGUCAUACAGGGAUGUCCCCCGAGUCUCUGCAUCCUCUAAAGGAAGGCUCCAAAGCUCUGUGUGAGUAGCUCAUAGGCGAGGUAGGGCUUGAGACCCCACUUCCUUUGCAAUGUUCACUGCCUGAGCUUUUUUCCCCCUGGGAAAAGCCACUCCCCUCUUGGUGCAAGUCAGCUGCGUCAGAAGCAGGCUAUGGCACCCACGGCAGCCUCAGAUUCUCCCCACCGCGCCCCCACCUCUGUCAGGGCCGGCUCAGGGGCUGCUGCUGAAUUCCCAUGCGAGGCUCACUCGGCGGUCAGGAAGAGGAAAGCUGCUCUGGGAAUAGCAAACUCCAGGGAGCCAGGAUUACAGGCACGUGGGGGAGGCAGCGGAGGUGGCUGUUUCACACUCUGUCACAAUGGAGGUAGCAGUUUCCUUUUGAAGGACUGGAAAUGUGACCUACUUCCUUGUAACAAGGAUGCUGCGUCAGCACUUGGAUGGAAAACACAGGUGAAGGAUGUGCUCCUCCCCAGACAGAACAAGAAAGAAAAAGAGACCUAUUAUGGGCACAAAGCCCUGACAAACUCCAGACAGCCCUGUUUUGGAUGCAGACAACAAUCACACAUGACAACUCAAGAGGAGUGAGGCAUGGAGCUAGUGAAGGCUGAGCAUGCUGUUCCGACUCUACGUCAGCAGCCUCAAGCCUCCGGGGCACAGCCCGUGUGUGCCUGCAACCCCGCUGGAUGCUGCCAGCUUCCACCAAGGUCCUACUGAUCCCUACCGGCCUGUUCCGCACCCAAGCCUGCCAUCUUGGUUUGGCCUUAUCACAAUUUUCACAGCACACCUGUCUUGCUCAGCAUUUUGAAUUCCAACAAAGACCUGAGGGGUAAUAGAUUCAAGUGCCAGCUGGCCCUCUGCCAUCUCGCUCAGUCCCGUUCCCCAGACAGCCCUGGGCUCUUUCCUUGUUGGUUGCAGGGCAGUGUGGUCUAAUCUUUCUUUCCAAGUCUUUUCUUGGGAGCAGCCUUGCCAUCUAGUCUGCCUUCCCCUUACUCUAGGACAGUGCUUCUCAAUCAGGGAUGAUCUGGUAUUCUAGGGGACAUUUGGCAGUGUCCAGAAACUUUUUUUAUUGUCACAAUGGGGGCUGGAGUUAGGGAAGUGCCACUGGUAUUUGCAGGUAGAAAUUGGGGAUGCUGCUAAAUAUCCUAUACUAUGCACAGGGCAGUCUCCUACGAGGAAGAAUUUUCCAGUCCCAAGGCAAAGAAGCCCCAUUCUAGGAACCGUACUGAAUGAAAUGGUCUAUAUCUUGUUACAGUACAAAAGUAUAAAAAGGAAAGCAAAAAUGUCCCCCAAUCUUACUAUCCAGAGACAACCAGUCUUCAUUUUGGUAUCAUCCCUCCGAUCUGCAUAUUUACAUGUAGAUUUAUGGAUGUGUAUAAUUUGACAGAAACAUGCUCAUGCUAUAUGUGCUGUUUUGCAACCCAUUUUUUUUUUCACUCAGCAACAUAUGAUGGGUGUCUUUCCACUGUAAACAAAUGUAAAUUUGCAACAUCUUUUUUAGAAGGCUGCACGGCAUUCCAUAGUAGGGAUGUAACACUUUAUUUAGACAAUCCCUUAUUGAUGGAUAUUUAGAUCACUUCCAGUAUUUUGCUGUUAUAAACAACACUGUGAUGAAUAUCCUUGUAUAUACAUCCUAGUGCACUUGUCUGAGUAAAUCCUUAAGAUAAAUUCUAAGAGUGGAAUUGCUGGCCAAAGAAUAACAUGCCCUUUUUGGACUUUUGAUACUUAAUGCAGAACUGCCACUUUAAGGCAUAUUAACUUACACGACUUCCAGCAGGGCACUGGAGUACCUAUCUCUCUGCUCCUUCCUCCACACUGGAUAUUAUAAAUAGUCUUAAUCUGCAAAAGCAAUUGUUUAAAGCAUUAGCAGAGAAGAGCCAGGAAUGUUCAAAGCACAGUGUCUGCAUUUCUCUUUGGCUGUUGAAUCCUGGGAUUUGAGGUAUCCCUUCUGGAGCCUGAUUUUAUUUUCUCUCCCUGAGCCCCCCUCCCUUUGUGGACUCCUCAGCCAGGCCAGAGCAGAAAGAGGAAUUUGGAGAACAGACCGGGGGCCCCACUUUUGGGCUAGUGCUUCCUGGUCCUGUGGACCUCUCUGUGUGGCUGAGAACUCUCCUCUCUUCCUCGGUGGCUGCUCUGCUCCCUGGCAGUGAAGGAAUCAGGGGUGUGUUCCCGCUGGGGCCUCCUCUGUCUAUGGCUUUAACCAUCUCUAUCUAUGGGGCCACCUCUAUCUAUGGCCUUAACCAUCUCUAUCUAUGGGGCCAUCUCAAUCUAUGGCCUUAACUAUAACCAUCUCUGUCUAUGGGGCCAUCUCUAUCCAUGGCCUUAACCAACUCUAUGGGGCCAUCUCAAACUAUGGCCUUAACCAUCUCUAUCUAUGGGGCCAUCUCCAUCUAUGGCCUUAACCCGAAGCCUCCCCCAUUCUUUGUGCUCAGCGGGGCUGCUCCCUAUUCCUGGUGAAGUCUUACAUAAUACUGGCUCAUAUGGACACAGCGGUUUCAAGCUUAGAGUGUGUGGGGUUUCUUUUGUUCCUGGUUUCCAUGAUUCCUCCGAAGAGCCACACGAAGUGGUUAUAAUUCUUGCCCUUAAUUUUCUCAAUGCAGUAACUGAAGCUCAGAGAGAGGAAAUGCUUGACCUAAUCCCACUGCAGGUGAGCAGUAGAGCAGGUGGGAUUUGAACUUGCACCUUCUGUUUUAACACAUACCCAGGAUUUGUUUAAAUAAGGUAUGGUAAGACCCACAGCUGUCACGAAGGACGAAGUGUUUACACUCACACAGCUUCCAGCAGGGCGCCAGAGUACCUGUCUCUCCGCCCCUUCCUCCACACUGGAUAGUAUAAAUUGUCUUAAUCUGCAAAAGCAAUUGUUUAAAGCAUUCUAGGUCCCUAGAAACAGGAGGCAUCGCACGCCAGGCAAGGCCACAUGGGGAAAAGCCAGGGUCCAGCAGGAGGUAGAAGGAAUGAGGGAAGGGGUUGUCCAAAAGUCUUGAUUGUGGUUUCCAUGGGAAAAAAUGGGUGAGACAGGUUAAGCAGGUUUAGGACUAGCCGGUUUGAAUAAUUUCAGUGGGCUCCAGGGUGUAGGGACUGCCCCUUGUAGUCUGAUACUUGGCCCUGGAUUGAUUAGGGCAGGAGGAUAUGGGAAGAGGGGGCUUGAUAUGGGAAGAGUUUGACGGGUAGCUGGAAAAAAAUAAAGCCCAGUUGGGCUAAAUUGAUUGAUAUGCAUAUGGAAGGAACACUUGCAAAGAAGGCACACUUGUUUGCUAUUUCCAAAAACUGGCUAGCCCUGGGAAGGGCAGCCUCUCCCCACUCAGUGGGGCCACAGAUGCCAGAGCAUCACGCAUACAGAAAAUAAGAAAAUACGCACCUCCCAACUCCGUGGUGCUGGGCUGAACCAAUCUCGGCUCAGCCUGCGCACUUUUCUGCUCCCCACACCCAUUCUGUGGGUCUGGGAUAGCUUUCCUAGAGAGAAACCUUCUCUCCAAAUGACCUCCACAUAUUGAGAGUCUCCUGGGGUGGAACGCUAUCAGUGUACUAUUUUGCUUCAUGCUGGUAAUGACCCUGGAAGGAAGCAGUCAUUAUUCCUGUUUUUCCGGUGAGUCCUGAAGAGGGGAAGUGGUUGGAUCCAGGGCACGCAACUGAGUUGGACCAGGUGUCCUCACUCCGGGGCUUUCGCUCAAAGAGAAGGAGCUUGCAACGAAUGCCUGUUUCACAUAGAAUAGGAAAGAGGGGAAGGUAUUUAAGAAAGUUACCUUGCACAUUUAUCACAGCUGCUGAUAGAGGAGCUGGUUUUAGCUGACGGAACUUCUUGCUGUUUGGCUUUGAGGCUCUCACCAACAAAAGCCUGUAGAGAGGCUGCUUGGUUUGUCCCUGGUCUUGUCCACACCUCCAGCCCUGUCUCCCUCAAGUCCAUGCCUGAUAUCUUCCCUCUCCCCUAAACUUAUCUGUCCAAUGCUCUGCCAUUUCAGGAGCUUGUGUCAGUAGGAGCCAACUGAGGUGAGGUUGUUUGCAGGGAACAGAAACCAAACUCAAAUGGGAUUAUGCCAAAAACACGGACAUUAUUGGCUCCUCAUAGCCAGUCUGAGGAAAGGUCGGGAAUGCAGCUGGCCUUAGGGCCUCAUGUGCCACUCGCUACUCCCAACUUUGCCUUUCUCUCUGGCUCUGGCUCCAGCUCUGGGCUCUGUGGCUUCACAUCCCUCCAGGUCCAUGGCCCAAGGGACAAGAAGAGUUUCUUCAGCAAAUCUUGUGAGAAAAAAAAUCCCAGAGAAGACCUCUGAUUGGCCCACUUUGGGUCACAUGUCCUUCUCUGGACCAGUCAGUGGCCAGGGGAAUGGAAUGCUAUGAUUGGUCUAGACUGAAUCACAGUGCUACCUUUAUGGGGAGCAAGGCUAAGAUUUGUUGCCAAGAGAAGAAGUUCCUGGGGGUAUAAUUUGGAUAAUUGAAGACAAUAUGCUUUUGACUGUCUUACUAAGUAACAUAUUCACACUUUCAUAAGGGACUUCUGAGGAUAGAAUGCCCUAAUGCAAGGAAAUGGAAUGGUGGGAAUUUCAGGCACUAUGACAGGAAUUUAAUGGAAAUAUUUUUGGCUUGGGAGAAACUUGGCUUCUAAGCUUGAAAAUGACUCCAUCCUUUUUUUUUUUUUUUUUUUUUUUGCCAGCAGUGCCCCACCAGCAAAUUACCAGAGUGAAAACUAGUAUGUAUAUACUGUAUUUUAGAAUGGUGUGGGAGUUUAUGUUUCUGAAAUUAGAAUGCAUCUUAUAAUUGAAGUGCAUAUUUAAUGUGUUACCAGGCAAUAGACUGUAUUAGUUAAAAAUGAGAGAUCUUUCAUUGGAUGAAUUUAGUUCAAAUCUUGGUUCUACCAGUUCCAAGCUGUAGAAAAGUUAAAUCAAAUGACUUAACUCUGCAGCAACCUCCAUUUUGUGUAUGCAAAACGAUGCUGGUAACAAUAUCUACCUCGCCUAGUUAUUGUGAGGAGUAAAUUAAAAAAC
rnacentral:lncRNA from 10 species